CACGUAGGGGGCAAGCGUUGUCCGGAUUUAUUGGGCGUAAGGAGCUCGUAGGCGGCUCGGUAAGUCGGGUGUGAAACCUCCAGGCUCAACCUGGAGACGCCACUCGAUACUGCCGUGGCUAGAGUCCGGUAGAGGAGCGUAGAAUUCCUGGUGUAGCGGUGAAAUGCGCAGAUAUCAGGAGGAAUACCAGCGGCGAAGGCGGCGCUCUGGGCCGGUACUGACGCUGAGGAGCGAAAGCGUGGGGAGCAAACAGG
rnacentral:rRNA from 1 species